GGAGAAUGGCGUUCCUUUGCUUUUGCACUUCAGGAAUCCCAGUCUCCCAGCUUGUUUCCCAGCCCUGGGAUGCUUUCAGAAUGAUUUUCUGAUCUGGCCACAUCCUGGCAAUCUUUCUCACCCAGGCUCCCCAGCAGGGAGGGAGAGGUUAAGUCGGGGCGAGAAUACAAGAGCCAUGAAGUAUUCCCCAAACUCGCGCGACCGUGAGCUGUUGGGAAAGUUGUUGUAUCCUGUUCUGUCCUUUUCCCUGAAAUGAGGAUCAUUUCACAGUGCCGGGAUGGGCAGAACAACGACAACAGCAACAACAACAAAUAAACUGAAGCAGCCAAGUAUGCAGCCCGCAGUGGGAUGUAUGAUGAGCAACUGUUCUGUUAGGACACAAUUUGUAAGAAUCUUUGUGCUUAGGAGCUAUCAGACGAAUCGUCUAUAGAGUGAGCACUUCAUGCUGUGAAUGGGAUGUGCUGGAUUCAAUUUCUACCUUUGGCUGGUUUCUUCAAUUUUUUUUUUUAAACCAAGGCUUUGAGCCACUGCAGUGUCUAGUGUAAAUUGAACACAGGCACUUCCAAAGUUUUCCAGAUGCCCUCUAAUACCCAGUAAGGGGACGAUAAGCCCGGAGAAGACUAGCAGGUUCUUUCUUGCCAUAGAAUUGGCCUGAUGAGAUGCUUUCUCCUACGGAAGUGUUUCUUGGGGGAGAAGGGAAUGAGGUGCUGCUACUCAGUUGUGUUUUGCAAUAAUGGCUCUCGUGAGUGUGACUAAGGUCUGUAAAUGCCCAGGUUAGAGGGAAUGGCCUUUAAUCAUUCUCUUAGCUCUGAAUCUGGGAUCCGUGAUCCCUGAACUGCAGUAGUGGGUGGCACAAAUAAGGUCAGGCGGACUAAAUUGGUUUUGGACUUCCUUCUUGUGGUUAGCAUAAUCAUUUAGAGAUUAUCUAGGCCAGCCCUUUCAUUUUACAGAGGGAUAAGUAAGUCCUGGAAGGGGAAAAACGUCUUGUAUAUCAUCACAGCCAAUUAGUGGCAGAAUCAGAAUGAAGCCUUGCUCUCUCGUAAGGUGGACAUAAAUAGAUAUAUUGGAUUAUGACUGUCAUACAAAUAUGUGGUCUAUCAUUUUUCAGUUUUGCUGUGCUUUUCAAUGCUUUUGUAUUGUUCAAGUAAGAAAGAAAACUAUUG
rnacentral:lncRNA from 1 species